rnacentral:rRNA from 1 species
GAACGAACGCUGGCGGCGUGGAUAAGACAUGCAAGUCGAACGGGAACUUUCGCUGUAGCAAUACAGUGGAAGUUCUAGUGGCGAACGGGUGCGUAACACGUGGGCAAUCUGCCUUAAAGUGGGGGAUAGCUCGGCGAAAGCCGAAUUAAUACCGCAUGUGAUCAGCUAAGACAUCUUAGCGACAUGAAAGCCGGGGCAACCUGGCGCUUUUAGAGGAGCCCGCGGCCAUCAGCUAGUUGGUGAGGUAACGGCCCACCAAGGCUAUGACGGGUAGCUGGUCUGAGAGGACGACCAGCCACACUGGAACUGAGACACGGUCCAGACACCUACGGGUGCAGCAGUCGAGAAUUUUUCNCAAUGGGGCAACCCUGAAGGAGCGACGCCGCGUGGAGGAUGAAGGCUUU